AUUUUCGGCCCAUUUUUGGUUAACUUUUUAUUUCUGUUCAAUUCAGUAUUUUGUUUUUGAGUUUUUAUUGUUUUGUUUAUUGAGUUUUUAUUAGGCUUAAGCAUAAAGUGUCAAGUAUAGUGGAGCGCUAUAAAAUCAAAACCAUUUUCUAAAAUGCUAUAAAAUCAAAACCAUUUUCUAAAAUGCUAUAAAAUCAAAAGCAUUUUCUAAAACACAAAAUAUAUUUAAGAAUACCAUUUGAAAACACUUUAAAAAUACGAAAUCGCUAUAUGCUGCUGAAUCUGAUAUAUGUAAAUGGCAAAAGCUUACAAGUUGGAAGGAACUAUUACUCGAAUCACGUAAAAGGCACAGAAAAAAGGGUGGUCUAGCAAUUAACUAAAUAAAAACACGCCAAAAACUAUGAUGCACACAAGAAGACGUAGGACCUAAAUUCGCAGUUAAAAUAUCUAAAAAUGCAGACAAAAAUUCGCGGAAAAGCACUGCUACUUGGCAUUGCCAUUGAUCAUCAAGGAAUAUGGAAGAAGCUUGACCCCAGCCAGAAACGGGCGUAAAUCGAAGAGCUGCUCCACCAAGGCAUUCCAUUCCAUUCCAUUCGACCAUGUCUGCAAUUCCUAUACGGCACUAUUUGUUAAACAAAAAUACACUUGCCAAACAGGCAAAAACUUA